rnacentral:rRNA from 1 species
AAAAGGUGGCUAUGCUACCGCUUUUGGAUGGGCCCGCGGCGCAUUAGCUAGUUGGUGGGGUAAAGGCUUACCAAGGCAAUGAUGCGUAGCCGAACUGAGAGGUUGAUCGGCCACAUUGGGACUGAGACACGGCCCAAACUCCUACGGGAGGCAGCAGUAGGGAAUCUUCCACAAUGGGCGAAAGCCUGAUGGAGCAACGCCGCGUGGGUGAAGAAGGUCUUCGGAUCGUAAAACCCUGUUGUUAGAGAAGAAAGUGCGUGAGAGUAACUGUUCACGUUUCGACGGUAUCUAACCAGAAAGCCACGGCUAACUACGUGCCAGCAGCCGCGGUAAUACGUAGGUGGCAAGCGUUAUCCGGAUUUAUUGGGCGUAAAGGGAACGCAGGCGGUCUUUUAAGUCUGAUGUGAAAGCCUUCGGCUUAACCGGAGUAGUGCAUUGGAAACUGGGAGACUUGAGUGCAGAAGAGGAGAGUGGAACUCCAUGUGUAGCGGUGAAAUGCGUAGAUAUAUGGAAGAACACCAGUGGCGAAAGCGACUCUCUGGUCUGUAACUGACGCUGAGGUUCGAAGGCGUGGGUAGCAAACAGGAUUAGAUACCCUGGUAGUCCACGCCGUAAACGAUGAAUGCUAAGUGUUGGAGGGUUUCCGCCCUUCA